rnacentral:rRNA from 1 species
GAUGAACGCUGGCGGCGUGCCUAAUACAUGCGAGUCGAGCGAACGGACGAGAAGCUUGCUUCUCUGAUGUUAGCGGCGGACGGGUGAGUAACACGUGGAUAACCUACCUAUAAGACUGGGAUAACUUCGGGAAACCGGAGCUAAUACCGGAUAAUAUUUUGAACCGCAUGGUUCAAAAGUGAAAGACGGUCUUGCUGUCACUUAUAGAUGGAUCCGCGCUGCAUUAGCUAGUUGGUAAGGUAACGGCUUACCAAGGCAACGAUGCAUAGCCGACCUGAGAGGGUGAUCGGCCACACGGGAACUGAGACACGGUCCAGACUCCUACGGGAGGCAGCAGUAGGGAAUCUUCCGCAAUGGGCGAAAGCCUGACGGAGCAACGCCGCGUGAGUGAUGAAGGUCUUCGGAUCGUAAAACUCUGUUAUUAGGGAAGAACAUAUGUGUAAGUAACUGUGCACAUCUUGACGGUACCUAAUCAGAAAGCCACGGCUAACUACGUG